CUUUAUACACAAAGGCAUAUGUAAAAAGACAAUACUAAUAUUCUUUGCAAAAAAUUGUCAGGAAAUUAAAAAUAAGGCGUAUAGGUACAGUUUUCAAUUUGUUAGCGGGCGUGACGUAAAACAGCGAAUCAAAGAAUUCAACUUUAUUCAUAACUAAUAUAGUGCAAUGCUGUUGAUUAAAAAUACUCCAUUCCAGGACCUUUUGUUUUCCAAUAUAUUAAUAUUACCAAUAAUGAUAAGUUCCAGUUUCGACGGGUUCAAACAGAAAGAUUUGAAAGCAGAGAAAACUGUGUAUCUUAUAAUCGGCAUGACUUUAUCAGAUGACAAUACUUAUACUAAAAUAAGGCUUGCGCAUAGUUAUAUACUUUAAUUCAGUCACGGACCCGCGAUAUCACGGGUGUGUUCUAGUAUUGAUUAAGUUGCAGGGUUUUUGCACCCCGGAAAUUAACACAUUUAUUCUAGACUUUGUUGUGGGCAUGAUAUAGGUUAUGUUCGUAUCGUAUUAUUAAUGAUGGUAUAAAACUAAUUCUAAUAUGACGUGCUUAGUAAACAACACCGUGAUAAAAUUCUCGAUAUAUCUAUACUUAGCACAGACUCUGAGAAAUACAUAAUAAUGGUUGUUACAAUAUACCUGCCAAGUAUCCAAAUGUAUCGGAACCUAUUUGCAAAACGCUAUGUCAAUUUUAUUGUUUUAAAGAUUGAAAUUGUCAAAAACUACGGAACUUUUAUUCUUAUUCGGAUGCAUGAAAAAAGAAUUAAGUCACAAGAACUCGGAGAAAUCUUCAAACUAAAAAAUAAAAUAAAAUUUUGCGAAAGUUCACUAAUGCUUACGGCGCAUUUAAGUCAUUUCAAAACAUGACGUCAAACUAAUGAAAACGCUAAAGCUGAAGGUUUUUCCGUUACACGAACCAUCGA
rnacentral:lncRNA from 1 species